GGGGUACAACAGAAUCCACUUUGGGAAGCACCGGAUGUGCUUACCAGUCAAGCAGGUUAGACAUCUCUAGUCCCCAGGGCCAGCCACUGAUUUACACAAAGGACACACACGGGCGUCACACAACAUCACCAACCCAGACAUACCCCGGUGCAGCUUCUCGGGAAACCGGAGUCAAUCCCUGGGAAAGUCGAGCGUGGAAGAAGGUUCUGAGUCCAAGGGAGGCUGAGACCCGCCCAGAGGCAGCGAGCCAUGGACCUGAGGCUCCAGCCCAGGGUCCCUGCUCCUCAGCCUCCCUGGAUGGCCGGGCGCCCCAUGCCGAGGUCACACGGUGGUGAAGAGAUAGGUGCUUGGGGCAAAAGUGAGCAAGCUGCACAUGUGACUGUCCAUAAUUUUGCACAUGCACUUGACCUUUAGAGUUGACCCCAAGGAUAACUCUACAUGUCCUGCAGUGCUUCCAGAGACAAUACUGGGCCAGAAACUGACCCCAAAUUACUCUUUGGAGUGCCGAGAGCCACUUCUCCACACUCCUCAAAUCCUCAUGAGAUGCAGCCGCUCUGUGUUUGCCUCCAUCUUCAAAUAUUGACACAGCAGCUGCCGGGUUCAGUGGCGCAUAAGGCACUGAGGACCUGAGACACUGCCCUCCUGGGAGAGCUUCCUGGGCGGUCUGUGAGCCAGGGCCCGGUGGCUCACGCCUAUAAUCCACAGCACUUUGGGAGGCUGAGGCGGGAGGAUCACUGGAGCUCAGGAGUUUGAAAGCAGUGUGGGUAACGUAGCAAGACCCCAUCUGUACAAAAAAAUAAAAUUAGCUGGGCUGCUGGUGUACGCCUGUCGUCCCAGCUACCCACGAGGCUGAGGUGGGAGGAUCAGUUGGGCUCAGGAGGCAGAGGCUGUAGUGAGCUGUAAUCACGCCACUGCACUCCAGCCUGGGCGACAGGCUGUCUCAAGAAAGAACACUGUGGUACUGGCUGUGACUGAAGAGACCAGCCACACAUGGCCAGCCCCUUCACAUUCCAUCCCCUGCAAGAGGUCUGCUCUGACCACUGGAUCAGCAGUGCCCAUCACCCUCUGCUUUGUCCUUGUCACACCUGCCUGUGCUCGUGGCUCUGACCACUCACUACAGCAUUGUUUAUUGUUGGCACUCUCUACCACAUAGGCAUCACUGGGGCAGGCAUCUACAUCUCCCCAGUGCACAGCCUUUUAAAACGGAGGUUUUGGCCAGGCAUGGUGGCUCACGCCUGUAAUCCCAGCACUUUGGGAGGAGGAGGCUGGUGGAUCACCUGAGCUCAGGAGUUUGAGACCAGCCUGGCCAACAUGGUGAAACCCCGUCUGUACUAAAAAUACAAAAAUUAGCCGGGCAUAAUCCCAGUUACUGAGGAGACUGAGACAGGAGAAUCGCUUGAACCUGGGAGACGGAGGUUGCAGUGAGUUGGUUGCACCACUACACUCCAGCCUAGGAGAUAGAGUGAGACUCCACCUCAAAAAAAAAAAAAAAAAAAAAAAAAAAA
rnacentral:lncRNA from 1 species